CGGGGGGCAGCAGUAGGGAAUAUUGGGCAAUGGACGAAAGUCUGACCCAGCCAUGCCGCGUGCAGGAUGAAGGCCCUCUGGGUUGUAAACUGCUUUUGACAGGGAAGAAAUACACCAUGCGUGGUGGGCUGACGGUACCUGUAGAAUAAGCACCGGCUAACUCCGUGCCAGCAGCCGCGGUAAUACGGAGGGUGCAAGCGUUGUCCGGAUUUAUUGGGUUUAAAGGGUGCGUAGGCGGUUUUGUAAGUCAGUGGUGAAAGCUAGCAGCUUAACUGUUAAACUGCCAUUGAUACUGCAAAGCUUGAGUUCAGAUGAGGUAGGCGGAAUUUAUAGUGUAGCGGUGAAAUGCUUAGAUACUAUAAAGAACUCCGAUAGCGUAGGCAGCUUACUAAACUGAUACUGACGCUGAGGCACGAAAGUGUGGGGAUCAAACAGGAUUAGAUACCCGAGU
rnacentral:rRNA from 1 species